ACCGUCGACAGUCAGGAAAAAGAAGAGACCCCUGCGUCUAGUUGCUACCAUUACUCUCUGGAUCAAGUGGAGCGAAUUAGACGGACCGCCACAGUUAAUGUGGAGGAAGGAAGGGGCCACGGCAGGUCAGUAUGCCCCGAAACCCUAGGGCUACGCGGGCUGCAAUGGUAUUGACAAUGUGUUCCGAAUCCGAAAGGAGGAGGCAAUCAUCAAACAAUAUCUCAGUUAUGACUGAGGGCUGUAACUCGCCCUCACGAAUAUGGAAUCCCUAGUAACCGCGCGUCACUACCGCGCGGUGAAUACGUCCCUGCUCCUUGCACGAAUUCGCCG
rnacentral:rRNA from 1 species